GUCUACGGCCAUACCACCCUGAACGAUCUCGUCUGAUCUCGGAAGCUAAGCAGGGUCGGGCCCGGUUAGUACUUGGAUGGGAGACCGCCUGGGAAUACCGGGUGCUGUAGGCG
rnacentral:rRNA from 1 species